rnacentral:hammerhead_ribozyme from 1 species
ACCCAACUGACGAGCCCCAAAUAGGACGAAACGUAUGUCCAAGAU